CAAAACUAUAGUUUGUUAACAAGAAAUUUGUGGAGUGGUUGAAAAACCAGUUUUAAUGACUCCAACAUAAGUGUAUGUAUACUUCCGACUUCAACUGUAUAUGAACAGGAUAGAUUCACUGAUUUCAUUUUCCUUGUUUCCCAGUUGGCACUACAUUACACCAUCCCUACUCCUACUGUUGGCACAUCGCUCAGCAUUCAGGUUAAGCCAGAAGUCGAGUGCAACACCAAGAGUCUAAGAAAAAAAGUUUAGCUGAAACUCCAAUACCUGUAUGAAGAAAUGGAGCAGACAACCAAUAUGGUUAUAGUGGAUUUGAGGAUGUUGUCUGGCUUUGCCCCUGACCCAGAACCCUUGGAGAAGCUGAGGGGUUCCUCUCUUGUGGAUUGUGUCGAUAUCAAAGAUGACCAUGUUUUAAUCUACUCGAUGGAGGUAAGUAUACUUUAAUUUAGGCUUACAGUGGAUAAUCAUUCAAACCAACAGACAUGAGUUGAAAAUUGAUGUCACUUAAGCUACUGUUAUAAUAUCAAUGUUUGACAUGAUAUCAUAAACAACAUAGCAACAAAUUAGUCUUAGAUUGUUUAAAAACUUGUAAUGGCACUCUCAAAAUAAUAGAAUGAAUAAGAAAUGAUAGAGUAUAUUUCAUAUACAUAUCAUAUACUCUAGUUAGCAUAUUUGUUUAGACACAAAGUAUUGCGUUCUUCGCAGUCAGCAAAGCUAAAAUUGUAUUUCUGUUUAGAGCAUUUCGUAUUGUGACCAAAAUAGUUGUUUUUUUUCAACAGUUAUCAGACUGUGUCAGUAACAAUGUUUAUUACAGCAACAAGGCAGCCAAACGACAGGUCAAGGCAGGCAGGGGUUGAUAACCAGAGUAGUGGAGGAAAGGUACAGGACGGCGGUCAGGGUCGGGUCAGGCAGAGGUUGAUAACCAGAGUAGUGGAGGAAAGGUACAGGACGGCAGUCAGGGUCGGGUCAGGCAGGGGUUGAUAACCAGAGUAGUGGAGGAAAGGUACAGGACGGCGGUCAGGGUCGGGUCAGGCAGAGGUUGAUAACCAGAGUAGUGGAGGAAAGGUACAGGACGGCAGUCAGGGUCGGGUCAGGCAGGGGUUGAUAACCAGAGUAGUGGGGGAAAGGUACAGGACGGCAGGCAGGCUCAGGGCAGGCAGAGUGGUCAGGCAGGGGGGCUCAGAGACAGGACAGGUAAGGGUCAAAACCAGGAGGGCGAGGGAGAAAAAGAGACUCGGGGAAAAGCAGGCGCUGAGACAAAACCGCUGGUUGACUUGACAAACAAGACGAACUGGCAACAGACAAACAGAACACAGGUAUAAAUACACGGGAUAAUGGGGAAGAUGGGCGACACCUGGAGGGGUGGAGACAAUCACAAAGGCAGGUGAAACAGAUCAGGGUGUGAGGACAGGUUUUAUUGUUUCAUUCAGGUGACCUGGCUGAGGCUGAGUACGUCUUCCCGUUUGCCAUUGGUCAGCUCAUUUAUAUCUUAAAUAUUUUGUAUAACCACAAAUGUGUACACUGAAUCAGUGUUUCUUUCAUCAUAUAUAUUACAUUAUAUAUAUCAUUAUAAUCUCUAAAAAUGACAACAUUUUGUUCAUCCUUUAUGAAUGCUAACCCUAAUCAUUGUUUGGCCUCUGAAGAUUUAAGAAAAUGAAGAAAGAUAAGUGAAUCCCGGUUAAAGGCCUAUUGUGUGUGUAUUUUUCACAUUUCAACCAUGGAACUGGAAAUCAAGUUUUUCAUUAAAUCCUUUGUCUUGUGCAUUAUAUUCUGAUCGUUUUGCAUUUAUUGAAUGUCACACUUUGUGGCAGGGCAUGCAUGACUCAGGAUUACACAAUUCAUAGUCAGGCUCUACUAAUAACACAAUUAGUCACUAUUAUAAUAUCUAUUAUAUUAUUACAUAUUAGUGAUGGGCAUCAAUAUGGAAAGUCCAUAUCGAUAUCAAUUGCAUUUUUACUUUUGAUAUCGAUACAUCGGAAUUUAUUGUACUUGCUGUUUAUCCCUAUAUGUGAUGUGAAGUGUAAAAUGUGUUUGAUCUUGAUGAGCCACCGUAGUAGUCGCGUCAUGUUGGAUCUUGAUGAACCAUAGUUGUGGUUGUUCCCAACAGCUGUAGCAGUUAUACAGUGCCUUCAAAAGUAUUCACACCCUUUGACUUUUUCCACAUUUUGUUCUGUUACAAAGU